UACGAAGGGGGCUAGCGUUGUUCGGAAUUACUGGGCGUAAAGCGCAUGUAGGCGGCGAUUCAAGUCGGGGGUGAAAUCCUGGAGCUCAACUCCAGAACUGCCUUCGAUACUGCAUUGCUGGAGUAUGGAGGAGGUAGGUGGAACUGCGAGUGUAGAGGUGAAAUUCGUAGAUAUUCGCAAGAACACCAGUGGCGAAGGCGGCUCACUGGCCCGGUACUGACGCUGAGGUGCGAAAGCGUGGGGAGCAAACAGG
rnacentral:rRNA from 1 species